CUACGGGAGGCUGCAGUGGGGAAUAUUGGACAAUGGGCGAAAGCCUGAUCCAGCAAUGCCGCGUGAGUGAUGAAGGCCUUAGGGUUGUAAAGCUCUUUUACCAGGGAUGAUAAUGACAGUACCUGGAGAAUAAGCUCCGGCUAACUCCGUGCCAGCAGCCGCGGUAAUACGGAGGGAGCUAGCGUUGUUCGGAAUUACUGGGCGUAAAGCGCGCGUAGGCGGUUGCUCAAGUCAGAGGUGAAAGCCCGGGGCUCAACCCCGGAACUGCCUUUGAAACUAGGUGACUAGAAUCUUGGAGAGGUCAGUGGAAUUCCGAGUGUAGAGGUGAAAUUCGUAGAUAUUCGGAAGAACACCAGUGGCGAAGGCGACUGACUGGACAAGUAUUGACGCUGAGGUGCGAAAGCGUGGGGAGCAAACAGGAUUAGAUACCCUCGUAGUC
rnacentral:rRNA from 1 species